rnacentral:rRNA from 1 species
CGUAUAUUAAAGUUGUUGCGGUUAAAAAGCUCGUAGUUGGAUUUCUGUCGAGGAUGGCCGGUCCGCACUUUGUGCGUGCAUCUGGUUCAGCCUUGGCAUCCUCCUGGGGAACGUAUCUGCGCUUAAUUGCGUGGUGCGGUAUCCAGGACUUUUACUUUGAGGAAAUUAGAGUGUUCACGGCAGGCAAACGCCUUGAAUACAUUAGCAUGGAAUAAUAAUAUAGGACCUUGGUCCCAUUUUGUUGGUUUCUGGAACUGAGGUAAUGAUUAAUAGGGAUAAUUGGGGGCAUUCGUAUUAACGUGUCAGAGGUGGAAUUCUUGGAUUACGUUACGACGAACUACUGCGAAAGCAUUUGCCAAGGAUGUUUUCAUUGAUCAAGAACGAAAGUUCGGGGAUCGAAGAUGAUUAGAUACCAUCGUAGUCCGAACCAUAAACUAUGCCAACUAGAGAUGGGCGAUCGUUAUUUUAUUGACUUCGUCCGCACCUUAUGAGAAAUCAAAGUCUUUGGGUUCCGGGGGGAGUAUGGUCGCAAGGCUGAAACUUAAAG